rnacentral:rRNA from 1 species
CAACCUGAGAGUUUGAUCCUGGCUCAGAGCGAACGCUGGCGGCAGGCCUAACACAUGCAAGUCGAACGGGCGUAGCAAUACGUCAGUGGCAGACGGGUGAGUAACACGUGGGAACGUGCCCUUCGGUUCGGAACAACCCAGGGAAACUUGGGCUAAUACCGGAUACGUCCGCAAGGAGAAAGAUUUAUCGCCGAAGGAUCGGCCCGCGUCUGAUUAGCUUGUUGGUGAGGUAACGGCUCACCAAGGCGACGAUCAGUAGCUGGUCUGAGAGGAUGAUCAGCCACACUGGGACUGAGACACGGCCCAGACUCCUACGGGAGGCAGCAGUGGGGAAUAUUGGACAAUGGGCGCAAGCCUGAUC